rnacentral:rRNA from 1 species
UGCACAGGCAUAGCGCCUGUGCUUUUCGGCACCCUAAGGCGGUGCCAGAAUAAGGGCUGGGCAAGACCGGUGCCAGCCGCCGCGGUAAUACCGGCAGCCCAAGUGAUGGCCGAUCUUAUUGGGCCUAAAGCGUCCGUAGCUGGCCACGCAAGUCCCAUCGGGAAAUCCACCUGCCCAACAGGUGGGCGCCCGGUAGAAACUGCGUGGCUUGGGANCGGAAGGCGCGACGGGUACGUCCGGGGUAGGAGUGAAAUCCCGUAAUCCUGGACGGACCGCCGAUGGCGAAAGCACGUCGCGAGAACGGAUNCCGACAGUGAGGGACGAAAGCCAGGGUCUCGAACCGGA